rnacentral:lncRNA from 1 species
AAAAAACAUGGUGUCGAAGGCAAUAAAUUUUAUUCUUUUAACAUUUGCUGUUACAAAUGGAAUUUCCACUCAUUUACAGGCAGGAUAUCGUCUUUUAUAAGUGCUCUCUAUCAUGCUCUAUGAACAAUUAAGAUUGAAGACUGGUAUGAUUUUACAACCCCUAUUAUUUAUCAUCUACAAAAUUUUGCCAGCGUAGAGGCAAAAUAAUUACCUUUUAGAAGAGCCCAAUCCUUUCUGUAACCAAUUGUACAAUGACUUCCUUGUGACCUUUAGCCGUAGCAAAUCUGUGGGUCUCCUGGUUGACGAUUCUAACAGUGGCGGCAACCCAGACCGGAUGAGAGAUCGAGAGAAAAGAGAAAGAAAUUGCAGCAAAAGAAGAGAAGACGAGAAGACGAGAAGAAAUUAAGAGAAUGAGGAGGACUGACCAGAGAAAAGAGAUUCAGACUUCUGAUUCCGAGUUCGAGAUCUGGAUUCUGGGUUUGGGAUGAGAGAUUCAGAUUGAGACUACAGACUUGAGAGUUCGACUUGAGAGUUCAGAGUCCGGGCCAGGGCUAGUAAUGCGCUGAGUAGUAAAUAGUGAGUGUUGAGUCAUUAGUAU